rnacentral:rRNA from 1 species
GACCAAGUGAGGAUGAUGUUGCGGUCGAUGAUGGCAGGAUCAGCGUCUUGGGAUACGACACCACGUCGGUCGCUCUUGUUCCACGUCUUGAUGACGGUGACAGCCUCAAGUUUCCCACCACGCUCUGGUCGAUUCUCGAUAACAAGCUCCCAGACGGCUCCUGGGGAGACGCUGCCCUGUUCCCCGCCUAUGACCGGGUCACCAACACCCUUACCUGUGUCGUGGCUCUCAUAAAGUGGUCUCUUGGCCAUGGUAAAUGCAGGAGAGGAUUGCAAAUGUAGCUUGUCUCCGACGAUGGGGCCGAGAACCGCAGGCUACGUACCCUAUGCAUCGCUGCUUUGACUGACCUAUCUCCCUGCGUCGGCAACCGCUUCUCUGAUGGAUGGGUUCAUCACAGGGACUCGUCAUGGCGCGCUUCAUCAACACCAAGAGGAGACCCCUUCAUCUUCAUGGCCGGCCCUCAAGCAAAGCAAAGGGAGGGGAUCGAAAUCGUCCAUGGACGGACGCGCUGAUGGGGACCUGAUGGAGACAGAGAAGGACCACGAGGAGGUGGCGUGGGUCGACCCUGGCGGUUGGCUCCUCC